rnacentral:rRNA from 1 species
GACAGAGGGUGCAAACGUUGUUCGGAAUUACUGGGCGUAAAGCGUGUGUAGGCGGCCAUGUAAGUCGGAUGUGAAAGCCCCGGGCUCAACCCGGGAAGUGCACUCGAUACUGCGUGGCUUGAGUACUGGAGAGGUUGGUGGAAUUCUCGGUGUAGAGGUGAAAUUCGUAGAUAUCGAGAGGAACACCGGUGGCGAAGGCGGCCAACUGGACAGAUACUGACGCUGAGACACGAAAGCGUGGGUAGCAAACAGG